UUGAAAAAAAAACGAGUAUUCUAAUAUAUAUUUAAAUAAUAAUUAAUGUAUUACACAUUAAGAAAUAAUUAUUUUUUUAGUUUUAUCAUAAAAAUAAUUAAUUUUAAAAUAGAUAAACCGAGAAAUCAAUAUCUGAUAUCUCCCCUCAUUUUUUUUACUUUUGAAAAUAUAAAAUAAUUCUAAAAAUAAAAAUCUCUCUCAUCCUCCUCAUUUAUUUUUAUUUCUAAUCCAUACAUACACUUGCCUCUGUACUAACCACACGUGUCACUAUCAUCAACGUGUGACUCUACUUUCAGCGCUUACACGUUCUCCAUUAAGGGACCCACCUCCUUUCUUGAUCAGAACACUCCACAGCCGUUGGAUCUCUCCCAAAGCGUCUUCGGAGGGAAGCUGAAACCUGCAACACGGGCAAGUAUUCCUCUUCUUCAACCAUGGCAAAAUGCACAUCCAAUGAAACAAGUGUUCGCAUGGCAACUCACACACGUCUCUCCCUUCUCUCAUCUCUUCUCUACAUACAACACACACCCCACCACCACCUCUUCUCACCUCCACCGUCGGUAGUGCCACCACAGCUGAUGGUGCUGCUGCCACCUCUCUCCCCUCCUUCCUUCCACAACCACCCAUUAAAGCCACAAACCUCCAACACCUUAUUAUCAUCUCAACGAAAGGUAAAAGGACGCCUCCAUAAUGCACCCCAAUGCCAGACUGCAUUAACAUGGCAUCAGAGUAGCGUUUGCUUAAAAUUCCCAUCCAUUCAGUACGUGGGCUUUUGAGUAUUUCAGGGUUAUAUUGAUGGACGUCACAAAGGAGUAGGAGGAGUAGUGCUGCGUCAAGGUCUCGGUGUUUGAUGGUGGCGGAGGGAUGCGGAGGAAGUGGAGGUGGGUGGAAGUGACGGGUGAGUUGGUGGAGGGAGGAGAGGAGAUGCUUGGCAAUGAGGAGCGUUUUGUGAGGGAGGGAAAGGGAGAGGAGAAGGUGGAGGGUGAGGGAGAAGGAGGAGGGAGAGGAGAGGAGAGAGGAGAGACGGUGGUGAUGGUAGAGAGAUUGAGAGAGGAUCGAGUGGGUGAGAUCUGAAAGCUGGGGAGGAGUGAGAGUAGAGAGAGCAGCCAUGAUGGUGGUUUCUUCUUGCAGUUCCAUGAUGGGAUCGUGUGCCUGUGACUUCCACCGCAGUGGGUAAAGAUCGAGAGAAUGUGUGCCGUUUUAUGUGAAUUUGACUCACUCAUUUGUACGUUCUAAUGACAAAACUAUCCCUUUCAUUAUUACUUCAGUUUUAUAUAUUUAAAAAGAAAAAGGAUCAGUAAGACUCAACCACCCAAAAAUUAGUAUAUCAAAUUUAGAGGUAAGGACAAUCAUAGUUCUUAUAAGUGAGGGUAUAUAUUGAAGUGCUUCUUGACUUCUUGUACAUAGUUCUUAGCUCUGAUUCCACAAUUGCUUGAUUCCUAGCUAACCCAUUUACAGGGGUGAAAGUUGUUUGUCUCAAGGAAACUCUGCGUGAUUGUAAGGUGGCUGUUUCUAGCCUUGCAUAGUCCUCUGAGCUUCCCUUUGUUGUGCUUCAUGAAUGCUGCUUGUAGUCCCCCUAUGGUGGCUCCCAUGCUGCUGGCGGUGGUGAUUUGCUUUGCGAUGUUGUGCUGAGUCUUAGGAUUCGAGUCAAACACUCAUUAGUUCAAGGGUUCUGUUGUAAGGGUCUUGGGCCUUCUUUAUAUGGGCUUGGGCGUUAAUCUUGAGCUAGCUUUGUUAUAGUUGGGCUUUGGUCAUGUACAUUUACUUUCAUCAAUGAGGUAUUACAAAUAUGGUACGGACUAUAGACCUAACUAGUGCAGGCAGCACAAAUUAAGCUUGGACGAAACAGUCUUUCUAUAGUCUAAUCUAGCAAAAAAAGAAGCUAUGGACAUACACUGUGUUUUUGCAUUAGGUGAUGAAUUGAUUAACGGGUUGGUAAAUUGGAAAAACAUAGUGGACAAGAGAUAGAGGGAGGGACAGGGGAAUGUGGGUUUUUUUGUUCACAUGUACGUGUCUAGUUCAAGAACUUUUGUCGAUCCUUUUUCUUAUUAUUGUAUUUGCCUUAACCAAACAAUCAGAAGAAGAAGGAAAAAAAAUAACCAUUUGGC
rnacentral:misc_RNA from 1 species